ACCUCGUUAGCUCACUUGGAUAGAGUGCCUGGCUACGAACCAGGAGGUAACACGUUCGAUUCGUGUACGAGGUUCCA
rnacentral:tRNA from 1 species